UGGGGAAUAUUGGGCAAUGGGGGAAACCCUGACCCAGCAACGCCGCGUGAGGGAAGAAGGCUUUCGGGUUGUAAACCUCUGUCCUUAGGGACGAAGAAGUGACGGUACCUAAGGAGGAAGCUCCGGCUAACUACGUGCCAGCAGCCGCGGUAAUACGUAGGGAGCAAGCGUUGUCCGGAAUUACUGGGCGUAAAGGGUGCGUAGGCGGCGCGUUAAGUCAGAUGUGAAAUACCCGUGCUUAACAUGGGGGGUGCAUCUGAUACUGGCGUGCUUGAGUGCAGGAGAGGAAAGCGGAAUUCCUAGUGUAGCGGUGAAAUGCGUAGAUAUUAGGAGGAACACCAGUGGCGAAGGCGGCUUUCUGGACUGUAACUGACGCUGAGGCACGAAAGCGUGGGGAGCAAACAGG
rnacentral:rRNA from 1 species